UACGAAGGGGGCUAGCGUUGCUCGGAAUCACUGGGCGUAAAGGGCGCGUAGGCGGGCUGUUAAGUCAGGGGUGAAAGCCCAAGGCUCAACCUUGGAAUUGCCUUUGAUACUGAGGGCCUUGAGACCGGAAGAGGUCGGCGGAACUGCGAGUGUAGAGGUGAAAUUCGUAGAUAUUCGCAAGAACACCAGUGGCAAAGGCGGCCGACUGGUCCGGUUCUGACGCUGAGGCGCGAAAGCGUGGGGAGCAAACAGG
rnacentral:rRNA from 1 species